rnacentral:rRNA from 1 species
UACGGGGGGAGCAAGCGUUGUUCGGAUUUACUGGGCGUAAAGGGCGCGUAGGCGGUAGCACAAGUCAGUUGUGAAAUCUCCGGGCUUAACUCGGAAAGGUCAACCGAUACUGCGGGGCUAGAGUGCAGAAGGGGCAACUGGAAUUCUCGGUGUAGCGGUGAAAUGCGUAGAUAUCGAGAGGAACACCUGCGGCGAAGGCGGGUUGCUGGGCUGACACUGACGCUGAUGUGCGAAAGCUAGGGGGGCGAACGGG